AAAACAUGUUUUGGAAAAACAACAACAAAAACAACAAAAACAACAAAACCACAAAUCGCUAAGAAUUAUUUUAGACAUUUCACCAUGGAGUGCAAUAGAAAUUCACUGUCCCUAUAUGGCCGUUGCUAGUGUCACGUUCUGACCAUCGUUCGUAUGUGUUUUCCUUGUUUUAGUGUUGGUCAGGACGUGAGCUGGGUGGGCAUUCUAUGUUGCAUUCUAUGUCUAUGUUCUUUCACCAGAAGAAAACCGUUACAGAAUCACUCACCACAACAGGACCAAGCGGCGUGGUAACGGGCAACAGCAAAAGCAGCAGCAGGAGAAGGAACAGAGGCAGCAGCAGCAGGAAUAGCAACAGCGAGGUCAGGAUUUCGGGACAUGGGAGCAGAAUCUGGACUACACAACUUGGGAGGAGAUAGACAGGUGGGCGGUCGACCCAGGGAGAGUGCCGGAGCCUGCCUGGGAUUCGAUGGAGCAGUGUGCGGAAGGUUACAGGAGAAUGAGGUUGGCGAAGCAAGCACGGGGGGGGGGGGGGGGGGGGGGGGGCACAGGGAGAGUGUGGCAGAGUCAGGAGUCAGACCUGAGCCAACUCCCCCUGUUUAUCGUAAGGAGCCAAGGAGGAAACCAGAGCCGGUGUUGGAGGUGAGCGAAGCAGAGACGGUGAAGGAGUUAAUGGGGAGAUUGGAGGAGAGAGAUAUGAGGGAGUUGCUGUGUUGGUGCAUGAGACACGGAAUUCGCCCGACGGAGCGUGUCGAGGAUUUGAUGACACCUGGGUCAGCUCUCCAUACUCGUCCUGAGGUGCGUGCUAGUCGGCUGGUGAAGAUGGUGCCAGCCUCACGCACCAGGCCUCCUGUGCACCUCCCUAGCCUUACACGUCCUGUACCAGCUCAGCGCUACAGUGCGCCUAGCAGUGCUAACCGUGGCGGGCGUGGUACUGGUCAGGCACCGUGCUAUGCGGUGGAACGCACGGUGUCCCCAGUACGCGUGCUUAGCCCGGUACGCUACAUCUCAGCUCCUCACAUCUCCCGGGCUAGACUGAAGAUCCAGCCAGGGCGGUUGGUGCCAGCCCUGCUCUCAAGAUCUCCAGUACGCCUUCACGGUCCGGUCCAUCCAGUGCCACCUCCACACACUAGCCCUCCGGUGGCAGCUCCCCGCACCAGGCUUCCUGUGCGUGUCCUCGGCCCAGUACCACCAGUGCCAGCACCACGCAUCAGGCCUACAUUGCGUCCCGCCUGUCCACCGCUGCCGGAGCCUUCCUCCUCUCCAGCGCAGCCGGAGUCUCCCGCCUGUUCGGCGCUGCCAGAGCUCCC
rnacentral:lncRNA from 1 species